GUUAAUAAUGCGUAGUGUCAAAUUAUUACCUGUAAUCUAAAAAUAGACAAACUUUAUUUGCGCAAAUAAUUUAGCGGAACGAAACCCUUGUUGAAAACACAUAACAAUAAGUUCGUUUUCCUUUUCUGUCAAAACUCCGUAAUAUUUAUCGAUCACCUUACUAAUGAAAUGGACCCGUCCAAACGUAGUAGAUGCCAAGUCGGUCC
rnacentral:lncRNA from 1 species